UACAGAGGGUGCGAGCGUUAAUCCGAAUUACUGGGCGUAAAGCGUGCGUAGACGGUUUCGUAAGUCGGGUGUGAAAUCCCCGGGCUCAACCUGGGAAUUGCAUUCGAAACUGCGAGGCUAGGGUACGGAAGAGGGAAGCGGAAUUUCUGGUGUAGCGGUGAAAUGCGUAGAUAUCAGAAGGAACAUCAGUGGCGAAAGCGGCUUCCUGGUCCAGUACCGACGUUCAGGCACGAAAGCGUGGGGAGCAAACAGG
rnacentral:rRNA from 1 species